UACGUAGGGGGCAAGCGUUGUCCGGUUUCAUUGGGCGUAAAGCGCGUGUAGGCGGCCAGGUAGGUCCGGUGUGAAAACUCGAGGCUCAACCUCGAGAGGUCAUCGGAAACCAUCUGGCUAGAGUCCGGAAGAGGAGAGUGGAAUUCCCGGUGUAGCGGUGAAAUGCGCAGAUAUCGGGAAGAACACCUAUGGCGAAGGCAGCUCUCUGGGACGGUACUGACGCUGAGACGCGAAAGCGUGGGGAGCGAACAGG
rnacentral:rRNA from 1 species